CGUUGUCGAUUGUUGGAACCAAUAUAAAAUUUCGUGAUAAGAUUGCCACACCUUACGGGUGAAUACAAAUUUUAUUAUACAAUGCUGCUUUAAUUAAAGCAGCCAACUCCUUAUUUUAUAAAUUGCGAAACUGAUCCAAUUUUGAAUUGAUGACGUCAUUAUGAUAAUUAACAAAUUUAUUAGAAAAGCAAGAAAAAAAAAAAAAAAUACAUGUAAAUCGAUAUUUACGGCAUUAUCAUUUAAUUCGAAAUAUACUUGGAAAAAAAUUUUCAUUUUAAAAUUUCUAUUUAAAUCUCUCGUAAACGGUCAUGUUUAGGCCUAGAGUAAGAAGAACACGUGGGUUUGUUUACAAAUUUUAAGUUGAAUCAAACUUGUAUAUUUUGGUUCGAACACCCAUCGACCGUGUUAUAAUACGAAACCAUAUCGACGAAUUUAUGCUAAUAUGUCGAAAUAUCACGUCGGAGAUAAUGAAAAUCGAUGUCAUAGGUCGCAAUCGGAAUUGUUUUUCCGUCCGGUUCGGUCGCCUCGCACCCGUGACGUCAUCUCACGCGCUCCUUGAUUCCACUCAAACUCCAUUUUAGCUUUGGAAUCGCCGGUUGGCAAAGGACAAAGACAAAGUGGCCUUUUCGGAGAAACGGAUUCUAGAUCGACAUUUGCCUCUGACCUAUGACACAAUCAUUCCCAAGAAGAUCACUUUAAUUUAUUGACUGAUAUUUUGUGAAAAAAGAAGUUUCAAAGUUUUCAUUAUCAUUAAUGAUAGGUAAGAAUUUUUAAAGUAUUUAUAUUUUAUAUGUUAAAUUUAUGUUUUAUUUAAUUAAAAAAUUUAUUCAGUAAAAUUUGGACUGUGGAGGUGGUAUACCAGGCUCUAUACUCCAACUCAGAAUUUCACAAGAUUAACUUUGACUCCAACUCUUGCAUCUAAAUAAUAAUAAUUUAAAACAUACUUUGAGUAUAUUAACCCAGAAUGGUAUUUCAUCACUACCAAGUAAAUCAUCAGGCAUUUCUAUUUUUUAAACUUUUAGUGCCCAUAAGGUAGAAAGAGGGACUUUUUAUCAAGCCUGUUAUGGGAUUGACCAGGCUUGCAGUAGGAUGGUUGGGUGGUGAGGGACAGAGCCUGCCAUAUCUUGAUGGACUACCUAUGAAAAAAUUUCCUGGGGUUUAUUUUACUCAUCCAAAUUUUGAUUUUGGGUCACAAAAGCAGCAGGCUGACACUAUAACAGCUUCUCCAUUCAGCCAUGACAUUACUAUUGAACCCACUGAAAGUUUUCAUUUUUUUUUCAUACUGUUUUUCAUUAUCACCAUGAUGAUGAUCAUCAUAAACAACACAUUGACACACACCUUGUUUUCUAUCUGUGAUAAAGUAUUUGAAAAAUAGUGAUUCUGUCUUUUCUGAGUUUUCUUAACUAUUUUGUAUGGGUCUUUUGACAAUAAAAAUUUAGAAUUAGCUGACAGACAGAAUAUACUCAAAUAUAAAUUUCUAAAAACAAAAUCAUCAUUAAUUAAUAAUAUGCAAACCAAGAUCACGGUGUAGGAGAAUCCUCAUAAAAGGUCUUUCAUUACAGGAGACUUCUAUAAUGUAGGAUAGGAUGUUAUUAGGAGCUUUAAUCUGAACCAAUAAAGUACAAAUAAACAUAUAAAGUACAUAAUAAAAAAGUAGGAAUUGGAGUCUGUUCAUUUUUAUCAACUUCAGCUUUACAAUGUAAGAAGAAACAAAUUUUCUUCUGAGUCCAACUUCACAGCUCUGAGUAAAACUUAAGAUUUAAUAAUAAAAUAAUAAACUGUAUUUAAAAAUUGUUAUUAAUUGGUUCACAGAGAUAUACUGUGUGACUGUUAUUGUCAUCAAGUAAUAUCAAGUAGAACUAAAUGAAAACUGUAUUAUUUUGCAAAAAAAUAUGUUUGAAUUUGAAAAAUUGAAUUUGAAUGGUAGCAUAUCUAAGAUAAACAAAAGUCAAAUGGUUAACUGAGGUUAUAAUAUUCUGGUACCAAAUAUAAAUACAGUAGAGCGUCGUUUAUCCGAAAGUCGGUUAUCCAAAAGAAUUCCAGUCGGACUAAA